GGGGGGGGGUAGAUGUAGGUUGAUCACACACUGGGUAGUAAAAUCACUAAGAUUUGUUUGAAAACAAUGACAUAACCAUUAUAACGGGAAUCCAGUCCAUCAAUUGCAACACAAACACCUGUCCAAAAUUUUAUUGUUUUUAUAAGGCAGAAACAGGAAAUCACUUUCCGCCUGAACGCACACACAUCCCAGGUUAACAGUAAAGGGUGUCUAAAGAGGUCAUGAUUAGUCCGUGCUGUGAUGACACUGAUGUUUGUUUAAGAUAAAAAGUUGAUGUGUGUUUUGACCAGCAGACAUUUUUUAUUUUGCUCCUGCAAGCAUUAUUUUGUUAUCGGUCUCUUGAACAUCAUUAGACAUAUUACGAUUUCGUUUAAACACUGUUAAAUACUAAGGGGUAGCAUCAACUUUAUAUUAUCACUGAAAAAUUUUCCAACUUUUCAUGGCCUACCCCAUGAAGAAAGGAAUAGAGUAGAUUUCUAGAAAUUGAUUCAGAAUUUUCCCACGACAUCGAAUGCAUGCGAAGAAAGGGGGGGGGGGGGCUGGUGAGGGGUGGUAGCAUUGUUUGUUAUUAUGAGAUGGGUUCAUCAUAUUUAUUCACAUAUUUCAUUAAUAGACAUGCUGUUAACAAAGAACAGUACUACUAUUUCCAUCUGUAUGUUUUCCCAGUACUAGCCUAUCUCUCAUCGUAAUUUAUAACAGCACAUAGCUAUAAGGACUGUGUUAUAAACUUUGGGAAACAUGUUUUAUUUAAAAAUGUGUUAUAAUUUUUGGUUUUACAUAUUCAUCAAUUGUAAAAAUGCAUUGGUAUUUAAAUUGAUUUAGUUUUUAAAAUUCCCUCAAAUUAUUCAAAAUGGCGGCUCUUGAGACCGGAAAUGCCGAGUUUUGAUGAUCGGUUAAUAAACUAACAGGUUGUAAGGAAAGAAAAUAUUACUAAAAUUUGUUUCAAUUAAAUGCAGAAUUCUUUAGAUAAUAUUAAGUAAAUAAUAUUGUUUUUUAACCAAAAUAAAUUUUAAAGAUUUAUCCCGGUAUUAAUCGUGGCUGUAUCGUGAUUGGCCAAAAUUUCAAACUUUGACUUUCGUGAAUUCUGAUUGGACAAUUGCCAUUCCGCCAUCAAAUUUUGAAAUGGGCAAAGAAGACAGGAGUUGUUGUGAAGAUUUUCCUGAUUUUUUCAAGAAAUAUGCAGAAUCACAGCGUGUUGUAUGUAGUAAUGAAACUGCAAGCAGUGGUUUCAUAAAGAUAGACAUGCUUAAGACCUAGAUGAUAUGGCUUUAGUUGUGGAUGACCAUUUCCAUUCAGGAAAAAAUUCCAACCAAGUCCAGCUAGCAGACUGUACACCAGAUUGAAGAUACAUCAUUAAUACAAGAUGAAAAAAAUUAAUGGAGGACGAGGAUAAUACAAUGAAAGAGAUCAGAUGCAAGAGCAACCGUUCCCAUAGAAAUACAUGCAGCCAUGUAAACAGAAACCAGUUUUCACCUGCCAGGUGCUGGUCACAUAUAUAUUCAACUUGGAAGUUCAACAGAUUCAAGAAACAGAUCCAGUUGUUUGCUGAUAAAUUACUGCAGGUCAUUGGUAUCAUCUAGAACCAGGACUGUUUUAAAAAUCAUACUAGUAUGUUUGGAACAAAAUCAUGC